GGAUAUAUUGACGAGAUGAAAGUUCACUGAUUUUCACUUUCUUUACUGGCAGUCAGAAGGCCAGGGGUUCGAGUCCCCUCAUCUCCA
rnacentral:tRNA from 1 species